rnacentral:rRNA from 1 species
CCUACGGGAGGCAGCAGUGAGGACUAUUGGUCAAUGGACGCAAGUCUGAACCAGCCAUGCCGCGUGCAGGAAGACGGCUCUAUGAGUUGUAAACUGCUUUUGUACGAGGGUAAACGCAGAUACGCGUAUCUGUCUGAAAGUAUCGUACGAAUAAGGAUCGGCUAACUCCGUGCCAGCAGCCGCGGUAAUACGGAGGAUUCAAGCGUUAUCCGGAUUUAUUGGGUUUAAAGGGUGCGUAGGCGGUCGGAUAAGUUAGAGGUGAAAUUCCGAGGCUCAACUUCGGAAUUGCCUCUGAUACUGGUCGGCUAGAGAGUAGUUGCGGUAGGCGGAAUGUAUGGUGUAGCGGUGAAAUGCUUAGAGAUCAUACAGAACACCGAGUGCGAAGGCAGCUUACCAGGCUACUUCUGACGUUGAGGCACGAAAGCGUGGGGAGCAAACAGGAUUAGAUACCCGAGUAGUC